rnacentral:lncRNA from 1 species
UAAUGAGUGGGACAUGAAUUGGAACAGGCAGGAUGAACUGUGGGUUCCUGUGGUGGUCUGACAAGGAUGUGACGAGGACACCUUUCCAGGGGCAAAGUCAAGGCCAUGUGCUCUCACAGGAAAUUCCCUUCGGUUAAGUUCCUGAAGAGUGUAUUGAUUUUCUGAUACCCUGCCUUAUUCAGGUAGGACUUAAAGCAGCUUACAGGAAAACAAGAUUUAAAAUGUAAGAAGUUAAGGAUAUAGGGAAAAGAAAGGUAGAGCAGAAUGAUAAGAGAAAGGUGGGGUUUGUGAUCGUGGGAAUUUCCGUGCUGGCAUCUCCGUGUUGGUUCUGUUGUUGCAGGUACUGGGAGGAGGAGAUGAACCCUGCUCCUGUGGAGGCUAUGAGGUAUUGAUGUCGUGUACACAUCCAAGGGGUGGUCUAAUUAUUUACAACUAGGCUCCUGAAAAUCAGCCCUGAAUCCAGCUUUCUACCUUCUCUUUUCAAUAUCAUUUAAUUAAUUGAGUCACAGAAACAGCCUUUAAUUCAUUUAAUUCCCUUACAUUCUUCUAACUUCUGCCAUAUAUCUCGUGAUCUGUGAUUUUUCCUUUUGCACUGAUUUGAUACUAUGUAGUAGCAACUAAAUAUCGUUACUUAUACCAUAGCAGCUAAUCUUUCUUAUCAACAAAAACAAAUAAUGUCCACAUUCCUGAAAACAAUUAGGCUCUAUUUCUAGCCUUGUGAACAAAUGCAAUUUUGUCACUUACAUAAUUUGUUAUUGAUAGAGUAACUUCAGAAUUAUUUGUAGUACUGCUUCCUGAGACAUAUAAAAUCAUAUUAAUGAUUUUUAAUAGCAAUCAAUAAUAACAUUUAUUAAAUACCCACGGUGCUUCGAAUCUUUCAGUUGGUCAGUCAGCAUUUAUGUUCUUAAUAUCACUCCCAAAGCGUCAUAUAAACAACUUCUUUUUUUUUUUUUUGAGAGGGAGUCUCACUCUGUCACCCAGGCUGCAGUGCAAUGGCACAAUCUCAGCUCACUGCAACCUCCGCCUCCUGGGUUCAAGCGAUUCUCCUGCCUCAGCCUCCCGAGUAGGUGGGAUUAUAGGCACCUGCCACCACACCGGGCUAAUUUUUGUAUUUUUAGUAGAGACGGGUUUUCACCAUGUUGGCCAGGCUCAUCUCAAACUCCUGACCUCAGGUGAUCCGCCCGCCUCAGCCUCCCAAAGUGCUGGGAUUACAGGCGUGAGCCACUGCACCCAGCCCAUAAAAACAACUUCUAACCUCAGGAAGCCUACACUCCAAUGGGAAACCAAGGGUGACCCCAGACCAAUUUAUGCGACUGCUUUAUUUCCUUAUCCACAAAGUGGGGAGAAUGACAGUGCCCAUCUCAUAAGGCUGUUGGGAACUUUUAACGACAUAAUACUUGUGGAGCGUGAUGGCUGGCAUAGAGAAAGCACUGGAUAACUGCUUGUUUUCCUUCUUCUUGUUAUGAUUGGAGAGAUUCCGCGGAGGUGGUGCCUGGGAGCUGGCCACACCUCCCCCAGAGGGAAUUUCCGAGUUUCACAGGUUUCUCUCCCUUCUGAGCAACGGCAGGUGAGUCAGGGUCGCUUGUGCUCCCCUCCAGCUCUGGGAUGUAUGCUGUCCAGCUGGUUACGAGUCUCCAUGGCAUCCGAGGAAAAGUGGAGCUGGCUGAAGGGAGGUGGAAAAGAAGGGCAACAAAUUCCAGUUUCUUGUGAAACUUUGUAAACGUAAGGCUCUUAUCUCAGUCUGCAGAGCAGAAACAGGGUGAGGGCCAUGGAUCUGAAUGUCUCCACCUGUGCAUAAAACAUAUGAUUAGAGCUGAAGACCUAGAAGUCCCUUCCCCAGGCAGGGCAUGAACUCUUCUGUUUCUAGAACCAUUUAGGGAGGUGACAACUUGGCUUCGUCCCAGAGAUUCAGGUGAGGACAGAACAGAGGGCAGGGUGUUCUUGCCCUGAGUUCCCCGCUAAUGAGCUAAUCCUGGCCCUUCACCUUUGUUUGGCAUGAAGUUUACCAGAAAAGGGCAUCCUGCCUUUAUCCUUGGUUCUCUAUACCCUCGCUACUUUUCCUGUGUUUUGUAAACACGGGAUGGUGUAUUUAGCUUUCUUUUGCUGGAAUUAUUUUCACCCCAUGUCCUGUGUCUUCCUUGUCCAGAAGAAAUCAUCUUCUAGCCUAAGAGCUCCAGAGAAGGGUGUGCAGGGGACGGCCAUGUUCUGAUGCAUGCAUUCAGCUGUGUCGAACAGUCUUCCUGUUUUGCUACUGUCUGAGAAUAUUCUUUUCAUUCUGUGGGCUCCUGGGCCUGGGCUUUCCUUGGCUUAUCUCAGGAAUCUGCCUCUUGGUCCCUUUCAUUGGCUGCCUUCUAUGUUUAGGUUUGUAGGGGAAGGCCCCUGGAAGGUGGGUGGGAGAAGAGGCACCUCUCAGGAGAGGCUGAGGCGCAAAGAUGCUCUUGUCCACUCAAGUCCAUAUUUAUUUAUCUUCUAAUAUACUUUGUUUGUUAGUUUGUAUGCUUGUUUGUUUUGAGGGUCUCCUUCUGUUACCCAGCCUAGAGUGCAGUGGUGCCAUCAUGGCUCACUGCAACCUCAAUCUCCGAGCUCAAUUGAUCCGCUUGCCUCAGCCUCCUGAGUAGCCAGGACUACAGGUGAAUGCCACCAUGCCUGGCUAAUUUUUUUUUUUUUUUUUUGUAGAGGGUUUUUUCCUGUUGCCCAGGCUGGUCUCAAACUCCUGGUCCCAAGUGAUCCGCCUGCCUUAGCCUCCCAAAAUGCUGGGAUCACAGAUGUGAGCCACCCUGCCUGGCCUUCUAAUAUAAUUUGGAUAUUCCAUGGAUAUUCCCACCUUGAUCUACAUUAGGAACUUCCUGGAGGCUUGUGCUCAAGAGAGGUAGUAUCUGCUUGCUCAGCAAGCAGAGGCUGAGUAAGUGCAGGACUCUGAAUAUGGUUGUGCAGCAGAGUUGUGGGUAUUUGUGGGGACGUUGACCUCAGGCCCAGCAUUUAGAUUUAGCUAGCAGACAUGCCUGGGCAGCUAAACUGGCAAUGUCAGACCAAACUGCCUGGCCUGAUAUUGCCAGGCAGUUUAGCGUAUCAGGGCUCUGCUUAGAAGCCACAAUGCCAAGGCCUCAUGACCAUAUUCUUCCACCCUUGAGAAUCUUGUCCACCUUCAUAUCCCUCCAUUCCUCACGCAUCAUGUCCUGGGUGGGUGCCCUGACACCUCAUUCUCACCUCCAUCUCCUUGCUCACUCAUGUUUUCCAGGUUGUACUUGAGAGAGCCUAGGCCUUAGCGGUAGAGUUGGUUUCAAGUUGCUGCCCUCCCAUCCCCUGGAAUGUAACUGGCUUUCUGGGACUUAGUUUUUUUCAUUUGUAAUGCCUGCCUUGUAGUCCCAUUGUGAAAAUUAAUCAAUAAUUUGUUUUGAGGGUCCAAUAUGUGGCAGGCAUUGUGGUAAGCUUUAGGGCAGGGGCAUAAAGACCAGUUAAGAUUUCUCCUUUUUAAAACUUUUAUUUUUUUGUAGAGAUGGAGUCUUGCUAUGUUGCCCAGGCUGAUCUUGAACUCUUGGCCUCAAGUAAUCCUCCUACCUGGGCCUCCCAAAGGAAUUACAGAAUGAGCCACCAUGCCUGGCUUAUCCCUCUUUUUGAAUAGCUUUUGGUUAGUGUUAAGAGGCAGGUUCAUAAACAUAAUUUCAAAAUAAUGCGUAAAUGCUAAGAUAGAGGUAAGCCUUAGGAGUACAAAA